rnacentral:rRNA from 1 species
UCUGCUCAGAUUGAACGCUGGCGGCAGGCCUAACACAUGCAAGUCGAGCGGCAGCGGAAAGUAGCUUGCUACUUUGCCGGCGAGCGGCGGACGGGUGAGUAAUGUCUGGGAAACUGCCUGAUGGAGGGGGAUAACUACUGGAAACGGUAGCUAAUACCGCAUGACCUCGAAAGAGCAAAGUGGGGGAUCUUCGGACCUCACGCCAUCGGAUGUGCCCAGAUGGGAUUAGCUAGUAGGUGAGGUAAUGGCUCACCUAGGCGACGAUCCCUAGCUGGUCUGAGAGGAUGACCAGCCACACUGGAACUGAGACACGGUCCAGACUCCUACGGGAGGCAGCAGUGGGGAAUAUUGCACAAUGGGCGCAAGCCUGAUGCAGCCAUGCCGCGUGUGUGAAGAAGGCCUUAGGGUUGUAAAGCACUUUCAGCGAGGAGGAAGGCAUCAUACUUAAUACGUGUGGUGAUUGACGUUACUCGCAGAAGAAGCACCGGCUAACUCCGUGCCAGCAGCCGCGGUAAUACGGAGGGUGCAAGCGUUAAUCGGAAUUACUGGGCGUAAAGCGCACGCAGGCGGUUUGUUAAGUCAGAUGUGAAAUCCCCGCGCUUAACGUGGGAACUGCAUUUGAAACUGGCAAGCUAGAGUCUUGUAGAGGGGGGUAGAAUUCCAGGUGUAGCGGUGAAAUGCGUAGAGAUCUGGAGGAAUACCGGUGGCGAAGGCGGCCCCCUGGACAAAGACUGACGCUCAG